rnacentral:sRNA from 1 species
GAUCGCUGAAUUCUGUGAUAUUCAGAAACGGGGGAACCAUCGGAAGGGGCCAUGCUUGGCCCGUUUCAGGGGUGAAUCGCUGGGUUGGCACAUUGGCCAAUACCCAGUGUAGGGCUGCUUUCGUGCCCGAAUCCGUCAGCUAACUCCGUAAGCGUCCGAAAGAGGG